rnacentral:tRNA from 1 species
GGUAUGUGCCUCAUUGGUAGAGCACUUGCCUAGGGAACAGGAGGCUUGGGUUUGAUCCCCAGUACCA